CGCGCUUCCCCGGCCGUCCCUCGGCUCGCGGGCCCCCGGCGCCCCCGCGGCGGCCCCGCCGGCUCAUCCGGGCGAGCGUCGGCGGACACGCGCUGGAAGAUUGCUAUUUUUAACAUUUCCAUAUUGUUUACCGUGGGGAAAAAUCCCACAAUUCCUUGCACAAAAAUGCAUAAAUAAUAUUAAAUGAGCUGCCGACAUACAAAGGGACUUUUGUAGUCUCCUUUCCUGCUGGCGGAGGGGGAACUGUCACUUACACUUGACUUUGGUAACCUGGCAGAUUCCUGACUUAACCGCAGAGCUGGCGCGCAGGACCCUCCUCCCGUAGACACUCCCUAGCAGCCUGUGCAGCGUCACAUUUGAGGGUCAGACAGACUGUUCCAUGACCUAAUGCCUCUACUGUAAAGAAUGUGUCCCCUGAGAAUCGCAGCCACCAGAAGAAAGUGACACAUUCCAAGUAACCCAGAGGAAAAUGGGUAACACUGGUUUGGCAAAGGAAUUUGAAGAGCGGCACUCAUGGUUGGAGCUGUCUCAGCACAGCAAAACAAGAAGACAUGUAAAAGGAUAAUAGUGGAGGAAACCAGCCACCCUCUCCAACGUUCUGAUUGCUUACAAACAGGGGAAGAACUUCAAAUAUCUACCCAGUGUCUUCCUUUUGACCUUUGGAAGGAAAGCAAGAGCUUCGAAAGGAACUCCCACGACACCUGCUUCUCCUCAUGGAGCAUGAGGGUUUUCCCCAUCUCUUUCCCUAAAAGCCACAGAUACAAGUCCAGCAACUCCUCGUGCAAAGCAGCCAGGAGCAGCUCAGCCCUGAAAAAAACAGAAUGUACAACGAAGGGUGGACCGGUCGGGCGCCCCACUCCGGGGGCAGGCUCCGCAGCCAGCGAUCGGAAUGGAUUUAGGAUCGAGAAGAUCCGCAAAGGCGAGCGUCCACCGGGGCUGGAGACGGCCGAGUGCGGGCGUGCGGCCUUUCUUCCCCGGCGGGCGGAAACCUCCUUUCCACGGUGGCAACAACUCCUGGAAAACAGAAAAUCGCGCGAGCAGGAGAGCGGCGGCGCCUGCCUGCGGCCCGGGCGCGCGGAGAGCUCCCUCUCCGGGACCCCGGGCGCGUCGCGCUUGCAGGCUCCAGGCGGGGUGGGGGCCCGCGCGCGCCGGCCUGCUCCGCGAGCCAGAGGGAAGGGCCGCCCCGCAGCACCCCGGAAGGGCCUGGAGGCGUCUCGGGCCAGCGGCCAGCGCAGGCCUCCGCUCCCGGGGACAGCGGUCGCCGCGGCCGAGGCGGGGGUGGGGCGCCCCGCGCUGCAGCCUCCCGUCGUGCGCGGGCCCCGCGGAGCUGGCCGAGGGGCGGGAGCCGGCGGUGCGCGCGGGGGAGGCGGGGGCGGCGGG
rnacentral:lncRNA from 1 species